UAAUACCGGCAGCCCGAGUGGUGGUCUUUAUUAUUGGGUCUAAAGCGUCCGUAGCCGGUCCUUCAAAUCCCUGGGUAAAUCGGGCAGCUUAACAGUCCGACUUCCGGGGAGACUGUGGGACUUGGGACCGGGAGAGGUCGGAGGUACUCCUGGGGUAGGGGUGAAAUCCUAUAAUCCCAGGGGGACCACCGGUGGCGAAGGCGUCCGACUAGAACGGAUCCGACGGUGAGGGACGAAAUCCUGGGGAGCGAACCGGAUUAGAUACCCGGGUAGUCCAGGGCGUAAACGCUGCAGGUUUGGUGUUGGAGGUACUACGAGUGCUUUCAGUGCCGGAGAGAAGUUGUUAAACCUGCCACCUGGGGAGUAUGCUCGCAAGAGUG
rnacentral:rRNA from 1 species